GAGGGAAAGGUGAAAUAGAAUUUAUUAAUUUAAAUCUUAAAAAUACUGAAAUUUAAUGUUGACAAGCAAUUGAAGCUUUUAAAAAGUAACAAUGUACCUUUUGCAUAAUGGAUCAACGAGUUUAUUUUAGUGGCGAGCUUAAACAGUGAAUUAAUGUGUAGGCGAAAAGAAAUUAAGUUUUAAAAGGCUUUUAAGUCUCUAAAAUAAGACCCGAAACUAAAUGAUCUAACCAUGAUCAGG
rnacentral:rRNA from 1 species